AUGUCCCUUCUAUUAAGAAGACCUCCCGGCCGUGAGGCUUAUCCAGGGGAUGUUUUUUAUUUGCAUUCACGCCUUUUAGAAAGAGCCACGAAAUUAAAUCCUCUUUUAGGCGAAGAAAGUAUGACCACUUUACCAAUAGUUGAGACUCAAUCUGGAGACAUUUCCGCCUAUAUUCCUAUUAAUGUAAUCUCCAUUACAGAUGGAAAAAUAUUCUUAUCUGCGGAUCUAUUCCAUGGUGGAAUUCGACCCGCUAUUAAUGUGGGUAUUUCUGUUUACAAAGUAGGAUCCGCGGCUCAAAUUAAAGCCAUGAAACAAGUAGCUGGCAAAUCCAAAUUGGAACUAGCUCAAUUCGUAGAGUGA
rnacentral:rRNA from 1 species